UACGGGGGGAGCAAGCGUUGUUCGGAUUUACUGGGCGUAAAGGGCGCGUAGGCGGUCGUGACAAGUCACUUGUGAAAUCUCCGGGCUUAACUCGGAACGGUCAAGUGAUACUGUCGGACUAGAGUACAGAAGGGGCAACUGGAAUUCUCGGUGUAGCGGUGAAAUGCGUAGAUAUCUGGAGGAACACCGGUGGCGAAGGCGGCGUUCUGGACUGCAACUGACACUGAGGAACGAAAGCCAGGGGAGCAAACGGG
rnacentral:rRNA from 1 species